GCGCACCAGGCGAGAAACCUUCGCAAUGCAGGAAACUGCGACGAGGGAACUCCAAGUGCCUACGCUCAGCGUAGGCUGUUCUCAAGCCUAGAAAGCUUGAGGAGUAAGGGCUGGGUAAGACGGGUGCCAUCUGUGGUAGCAGUCAAUAGAUUCGAUUUGUUACUGCAAGGCAUAAGCCGCCGCGGUAAUACCCCGCAGCCCAAGUGGUGGCCGCUUUUAUUGGGCCUAAAGCGUCCGUAGCCGGCCCGGUAAAUGCCUGGGGUAAAUCGUGGAGCCCAACUUCACGAAUUCCGGGUAGACUGCCGAGCUCGGGACCGGAAGAGGGAGAGGGUACUUCGAGGGGUAGGGGUGAAAAUUUCCUUUCCGAUUAACGCUUUGCGCGAAGCGGAAAGGGUUAU
rnacentral:rRNA from 1 species